GUGCCAGCAGCCGCGGUAAGACAGAGGGUGCAAACGUUGUUCGGAAUUACUGGGCGUAAAGCGUGUGUAGGCGGCUAGGUAAGUCGGAUGUGAAAGCCCUGGGCUCAACCCAGGAAGUGCACUCGAUACUGCUUAGCUCGAGUACCGGAGAGGUUGGUGGAAUUCUCGGUGUAGAGGUGAAAUUCGUAGAUAUCGAGAGGAACACCGGUGGCGAAGGCGGCCAACUGGACGAGUACUGACGCUGAGACACGAAAGCGUGGGGAGCAAACAGGAUUAGAAACCCUUGUAGUCC
rnacentral:rRNA from 1 species